rnacentral:lncRNA from 10 species
AAACACCAUAUACAGCUUGUAGUUCACUCAAAAAGAGUAGCUCGUUCAUCAACUGACCAAGCUGAAAUAUUCUGAAUAUUGAAAAAUCUCAGAAAUUUUUUAGAUAUUUGAAAUGUGGGACUUAUCUGAAAGGACAAAAAGAAAGUCAGGCUUCUCCUUGGGCUACUUGAGCAUCCACAGUGUGGCAACUGGGUUCCAAGAAUGAGUUUUCCAAGAGGCAGCAGUGGAAGCUGCCAGUGUUGUAAGAUCUCGGCUUGGAAACUGGCACGGCGUUACUUCCACCUUACUUCAUUGGUCAAGGGAGUUCCAGAGCCCACUCACAUUCAAGAAAAGGGCACCGAGAGCCCACCUCUUCAUGGGAGGACUGUCAAAAUUUUGUGGCCAUCUUUAAACCACCAUAGGGAUCACCUCUCUCUUUUUCCCGUUUUCAUAUCAUCAUCCUCUUCCUCCUCCUUCCCCAGAAUUGCAAAAAUAUGAGGAAUUAUUGCUACGUACCAGUUACUCUGUUCAGCGUCUCAGCAUCACACAAGAGAGAAGAGACAAUCACAUAUUCACAAGAGAAG